GCCAGCCCGCUCAGAACUCAAAGGAAUUGACGGGGGCCCGCACAAGCGGUGGAGUAUGUGGUUUAAUUCGAUGCAACGCGAAGAACCUUACCUGGUCUUGACAUCCCGGAGACCCUUAGGAAACUAGGGGGUGCUUCCAUCUGGAAGAAUCUGGAGACAGGUGCUGCAUGGCUGUCGUCAGCUCGUGUCGUGAGAUGUUGGGUUAAGUCCCGCAACGAGCGCAACCCUUGCCUUUAGUUGCCAGCAGUUCGGCUGGGCACUCUAAAGGGACUGCCGGUGUUAAACCGGAGGAAGGUGGGGAUGACGUCAAGUCCUCAUGGCCUUUAUGACCAGGGCUACACACGUACUACAAUGGCCGAUACAAAGGGCAGCGACACUGCGAGGUGAAGCCAAUCCCGUAAAAUCGGUCUCAGUCCGGAUUGGAGUCUGCAACUCGACUCCAUGAAGUUGGAAUCGCUAGUAAUCGUGGAUCAGCAUGCCACGGUGAAUACGUUCCCGGGCCUU
rnacentral:rRNA from 1 species